AGCAAAUGCACGGUGUCAUGUAUGUGUUAAACAGUUGAACAAUGAUCGGGAGAGUGAACAACAGUUAUUUAAAAUGAAACUGCAGGUGUUGGUGCCUGUGGUUGUUGUGCCUAUGGAAGGCAGGGUCCUGGUCCUUUGUUCCAUCAUUCACACGUGAGAGAGACCAGACACCCAGAGGCCCAUCCACGCAGUAAACUUCCUCCCCACGCUCCUACAUGUUCUCCUCCAUCUGCCUCCUGUCCAUUGAUCUGCCUACCCAAGCAUCAGUCUGUUUAACAUCUGCUACAAGUUCCGCCAUCUCAGGUAACUAUCUAGCUGCUCUCCACAGUUUAUUGAUCUUCUUGUCCACCUGCAGUAACAUCUGUUUCAGUGUGUCUUUUGUCAAAUAAAUCAACUGCCUUGUUCACUUUCACUAACACACACUAACUUGUUUAGCUCAUUCAAUACUCAUAAGCCAAUCAAUAUCGUAGGCUAUAUCUAAACAAUUGAGGGGAAUCAAUUAUCAUGAUUUGAUAUAAUUGUAUUUUAAGCUAAUAAUAAUUACAAGAGAGAAAUUGUGUUGGUAUAUUUUUCUCCAAUAUUACAACUAACCAUAACAUUUAUUUUCUGAAAUUAAAAUUAUUUUUUGAUUAAACAAUUACUUUUAAUAACGCUUGCACCACGCAAUUGCAAAGGCCAAAGUUUGUGGUUUUGAGUUGAUUACUGAA
rnacentral:lncRNA from 1 species